rnacentral:rRNA from 1 species
AAACUUUCAACAACGGAUCUCUUGGUUCUGGCAUCGAUGAAGAACGCAGCGAAAUGCGAUACGUAAUGUGAAUUGCAGAAUUCAGUGAAUCAUCGAAUCUUUGAACGCACAUUGCGCCCGCCGGUAUUCUGGCGGGCAUGCCUGUCCGAGCGUCAUUU